rnacentral:rRNA from 1 species
UGCCUAACAGCUAGCCUCAAAAAAUAAAAAUUUACUAUUAUGGACUUAAAAACUCAUAAUAAACCUAAACAAAUCAUUUUACCCCCUAAGUACGGGCGACAGAAAAGGAAAAAAGAGCAACAGAUAAAGUACCGCAAGGGAACGCCUGAAAAAGAAAUGAAAUAAACCAUUUAAGCACCAAAAAGCAGAGUUUACUACUCGUACCUUUUGCAUCAUGAUUUAGCAAGAAAACUACAAGCGAAGAGCCCUUUAGUUUGUAACCCCGAAACUGAGCGAGCUACUCCAAGACAGCCUAUAAAGGGCAAACCCGUCUCUGUGGCAAAAGAGUGGGAAGAGCUUUGAGUAGAGGUGAUAAACCUACCGAGCCCAGUUAUAGCUGGUUGCCUGUGAAAUGAAUAGGAGUUCAGCCCUUUAAGUCUUUCCUCCCUCACCCAUGCUUACGCUAAAAUUGAUUAAGGAAACUAAGGGAGUUAAUCAAAAGGGGUACAGCCCUUUUGAUAAAAGAAACAACUUUAACAGGUGACCCAAGAUCAUAUUACCCAAGGAUUUCAAAUUAAGUGGGCCUAAAAGCAGCCAUCUUAUCAGAAAGCGUUAAAGCUCAAAUUAGCCUAUAUCCUCAUAUACUGAUAUUACAUCUCCCUCCCUGCCCCCUACCAGGCUGUCUUAUGCCUCCCAUAAGAACAAUUAUGCUAAAAUGAGUAAUAAGAAGAACUUAAUUCUUCUCCUAGCACGUGUGUAAGUCGGAACGGACCUCCCACCGACUAUUAAUCGACCCCAAACCCAGAGGGCAAUAGGUUAAAUAGACAAGAAAAACACCUAUUUCAUAUCGGUUAACCCCACACAGGUGUGCCUAAAGGAAAGACUAAAAGAGAAGGAAGGAACUCGGCAAACACAAGCCUCGCCUGUUUACCAAAAACAUCGCCUCUUGCUCCCAAAAUAUAAGAGGUCCCGCCUGCCCUGUGACUAUAAGUUUAACGGCCGCGGUAUUUUAACCGUGCGAAGGUAGCGUAAUCACUUGUCUUUUAAAUGAAGACCUGUAUGAAUGGCAUCACGAGGGCUUAGCUGUCUCCCAUCUCCAGUCAAUGAAAUUGACUUCCCCGUGCAGAGGCGGGGAUAAAUACAUAAGACGAGAAGACCCUAUGGAGCUUUAGACCUAAAGUAAUUCAUGUUUAAUAUACUAUGAUAACAGUGAAAACUUAGUGAUACUUACUGAAGUGUCUUUGGUUGGGGCGACCGCGGGGUAAAACACAACCCCCAUGUGGACUGGGGAUAUUAUCCCUAAUACUCAGAGCCUCUACUCCAAGUAACAGAAAUUCUGACUUUUCUGAUCCGGUAUAACCGAUCAACGAACCGAGUUACCCUAGGGAUAACAGCGCAAUCCCCUCUCAGAGCCCAUAUCGACGAGGGGGUUUACGACCUCGAUGUUGGAUCAGGACAUCCUAAUGGUGCAGCCGCUAUUAAGGGUUCGUUUGUUCAACGAUUAAAGUCCUACGUGAUCUGAGUUCAGACCGGAGUAAUCCAGGUCAGUUUCUAUCUAUGACAAGCUCUUUUCCAGUACGAAAGGACCGGAAAAAGGGGGCCUAUGCCAAAAGCACGCCCCUCCCCUAACCGCUGAAACCCAAUAAAGCGGACAAGGGGGCCUUAAAAAGACCCCAAAAAGAAUGGGUGU